UUUGUGUCACAAACAAUAGUAAGCAUCAGGCUUAAAAAAGGGGGGAGCUGCCAAAGACAAUUUUUUUUUGGUAUUUUUUUUAUUCCAAAUUCCUUCAGUACACUUGUCCUUAUUACUUUAAAGAGUAAAAUCCUUUCAUUUCUUCCUAGUAAUCCUAUUUUGGUUAUUGCAGCUUGCUAAUUACUAAAGUUUUAUUCUGGUUACUCAAAAAUGAUAUGAAAUUUAAUGUCAAGUUCAUCAUAUUGAAAAAUCUUAAGUAUUGACAUUCAGAAGU
rnacentral:lncRNA from 1 species